rnacentral:lncRNA from 13 species
GACAAUCGGUCCGCAAGCUAUAAAUUUCAUGGAGACACACGACGAAGCGCGCAUAACAAAGGCGGAGCGCUGUAGCACUGCGGCUUCAAAAGAGGCCAGAGCAGCUUUGAGAGCGGCUAGGGCAGAAGAAAACGAUGCCUUUAAGGAAGCUGAAGGCCUAUUGUAUGGAGCAGGCAUAGCCGAUUAGUAUGACAGUGUGAGCUGAAAUCACUUGCACCGCUGACAAUGCUUUCUUUUAAGGCACCAUCUUUGACUUCAGAAAGCAUACACAAAAUAUUAAUAAAUUAUGACCAAAAAA